rnacentral:rRNA from 1 species
AGUGAACGCUGGCGGUAGGCCUAACACGUGCAAGUCGAACGGCAGCACAGUAAGAGCUUGCUCUUACGGGUGGCGAGUGGCGGACGGGUGAGGAAUACAUCGGAAUCUACUUUUUCGUGGGGGAUAACGUAGGGAAACUUACGCUAAUACCGCAUACGACCUACGGGUGAAAGCAGGGGAUCUUCGGACCUUGCGCGAUUGAAUGAGCCGAUGUCGGAUUAGCUAGUUGGCGGGGUAAAGGCCCACCAAGGCGACGAUCCGUAGCUGGUCUGAGAGGAUGAUCAGCCACACUGGAACUGAGACACGGUCCAGACUCCUACGGGAGGCAGCAGUGGGGAAUAUUGGACAAUGGGCGCAAGCCUGAUCCAGCCAUACCGCGUGGGUGAAGAAGGCCUUCGGGUUGUAAAGCCCUUUUGUUGGGAAAGAAAAGCAGCAGGUUAAUACCCCGCUGUUCUGACGGUACCCAAAGAAUAAGCACCGGCUAACUUCGCG